GGGUGAAAACGUAGGGAAAAAGGGUGAAAAUGGGGGGAAAAGGGGGAGAAAAUGGGGAAAAAGGGGAAAAAAGGGGGGGAAAAUGGGGAUAAAGGGGGGGGGAAAGGGGGAAAAGGGGGGAAAAAAUGGGGGGGAAAAGGUGAAAACGGGUGGGAAAGGGUGAAAAUGGGGGGCAAAGGGUGAAAAUUGGGGGGAAAAAGGUGAAAACCAGUCCCGAGCACCCCGCUGCAGCACCCCAAGCCUGGGGGAGCUGCCCCAAGAGAUCGGGGUCGGCACGGGUCCGGUGGCUCGGCAGCCAGGUGUUUCGGGGAGGUUUUGCCCCAAAGUUGCCCGUUUUUUCUUACAUUUUUGCUCCUCGGAGCGCUGCGAGACGGGCGUGGGGGGCUGCGAGUCGUCCUUGUCGUCCCCCUCCUCCUCGGCCAGGUGGGAGUGAGCGUAGUGGUAGCUCAGCCCCGGGCGGUUCUUGUAGCGCUUCCCGCAGACUGCGGGACACAAACGGGACAUUUUUAACCCCAAAACCCUCGGGUUUCAAGCACGGGAACCCCCCCCCCCCAGGGAAAUUGCUAACGGGGGAAAACUCCGGGUUUUAGGGACAGAAAUCGGUUUUGGGGACGGAGAAAGCGCAGCCGGCACCUGUGGUGAGGUUUUGGGGUCACCCCAAAAUCUUCCCAAUUCUGCCCAUUUUCAGCCCCAUUUGCCCAUUUUCUAUCCCAUUUACCCGUUUUCUUCCCCGUUUGCUUGUUUUCUACACCAUUUUCUGCCUUUUGCCCAUUUUCUGCCCCAUUUCCCCCCCCCCUUUCCCUUGGGAUUUUCCAUCUCAUUUUCUGCCCCAUUUUUUGCCCCGUUUCCCCAUUUUCCCCAUUUUAUCCCCAUUUUUCCCUAUUUCCCCAUUUUCCGACCCAUUUUCUGCCCCAUUUACCAGGGGGCAAUCCCCAAACACCUCCCCCACACCCUCAGGUCCCCACAUUUUCCGUGCAUUUUGCCACAUUUUUUUUCCACCGAGUGGGGGACAAAAUCUCCUCCCCCCCGGGGAGGGUUUUUAAAUCUCAAUUUUUCCCAUUUUUCCCCUUUUUUCAAUAAAAGCAGGCACCGAAAACACCAAACCAUUCCGACCCUUUUUUGUUGUUUUUUUUCCCAACCGAGUGCUCUCGAACCCCCUAGGGAGGGUUUGAAAUCCCAAUUUUGGUGUUAA
rnacentral:lncRNA from 1 species